GAGUUUUUCAUGAAGUGCUUCUAUCUCGUUCCUGUUCUUUUCACAGGCCUCCCUCAGCUUGGCAUUCUCCUCUUCCAAUUCCUAUUCCAAUUGUUCAUUAU